rnacentral:rRNA from 1 species
GACGAACGCUGGCGGCGUGCUUAACACAUGCAAGUCGAGCGAUGAAGUUCCUUCGGGAACGGAUUAGCGGCGGACGGGUGAGUAACACGUGGGUAACCUGCCUCAUAGAGGGGAAUAGCCUUCCGAAAGGAAGAUUAAUACCGCAUAAGAUUGUAGUACCGCAUGGUACGGCAAUUAAAGGAGUAAUCCGCUAUGAGAUGGACCCGCGUCGCAUUAGCUAGUUGGUGAGGUAACGGCUCACAAAGGCGACGAUGCGUAGCCGACCUGAGAGGGUGAUCAGCCACAUUGGGACUGAGACACGGCCCAGACUCCUACGGGAGGCAGCAGUGGGGAAUAUUGCACAAUGGGGGAAACCCUGAUGCAGCAACGCCGCGUGAGUGAUGACGGUCUUCGGAUUGUAAAGCUCUGUCUUCAGGGACGAUAAUGACGGUACCUGAGGAGGAAGCCACGGCUAACUACGUGCCAGCCGCCGCUGUAAGAC